GCCGAGGUAGCCAAGGUGGUCACGGCGGGUGUCUGAAGAACAUCAGAUCGGGGUUCGACUCCUCGCCUCGGCACUA
rnacentral:tRNA from 1 species